CGACAAUCGUCACUUUUAAUCGAUGUUCCGUGGUCGUCACUUUUUUAAAAAGUUUGUUGUGUGGAGUACAUUUUUAAAAUCAAGAUGUAUGUCACAUGGAGCACUUAACUAAACAAACUUCGUUCUCGGCUAGAGUUUGAAGCAAGCUAUUGAACUGUCCACCAUUCCACCACCUUCCAGGACCACCCACUGUAACUGUUUUGAAGCUACAGUUGCUUGCACCAUUCUCCCAGAGGUGGACUUGGGGAUGUAUUUGGGGGAGGAGUGAAACAGUCUGUCAGAACUAGUCAUACAGCAAAAAUUUGAGGGAGCCAUCUGGAGGUGGCAUUGAGGCAGCAACACAAAUCACCUAACCUGUCGGUGAUGCGUCCAGGGCCAUCACCACAUACAGUUAAAUUGUUGGCUACCCUCACCACGUGUGGGGGUAUCGGCGACUCCUUAGCAGCGUCAUACAAUUUUGAUGCAAAAGUGAACCUGAAAACAUGAUAAAAUGUGGACGCCUCUGGAGAAAGCUCCGUGUGUGUGGCCCGGUAGAUAGAGACAAUACCUGAAACCCAAAUGCAACGAACCAUUCAGACUUGGAAUACAUCAUUUGUGGAAACAGGUGGCCAAUGGGUGGACAGUAAAUGGUAACCAAUGAACAGCUUUUAAUUGGGUAUGCCUUCAUGCAUGUUUUUCUGCAUGCGGGAGUUACUGUUACAUAUAAAGCACUUUACACUGCUUGUGAGAAAACAUUAUUAAUCAGCAUUGAUGGUCAACUUGGUCCCUAGCAUCCACUAGUGGGUGUCCUCAAUUUCAUAGGAGGCAGUAGACAGUUGGAGGUUAAAAUAUUUACAUUAGUGUUUCACAGAAUUUUGAAAAAAAUAUUGGGUUAGUAAGUAUUAUUUUAUGCUUUAACUUCAUGCAACUCUGCUUUAUAAAUUUUAUAACUUGUAGUUACUUCCCCACUUUAUAAAUCAUCAUUACAGUGGAAUGGUGGAUGGUCAGAAAAUUUUAAUAACAAAAGCUACAUUUUUCUAGAUGUGGAGAAACUUAUCGCCUGUGGAAUGCGCUUGUCUUUUGCUGUCCGAAGUGGGCUGCAGGACACUGUGUGAAAUGUUUUUCUAGGUGCGGGGCAGUGCAUGUACAAACAUAAAAAUUGAAAGUUGUGUGUUUUGUGAUUCAACAACUGCACACGAUGGUGAUAUGAGAACUAUCUUCUUACAUCUUUCAUUAACCCAAUGAAAAUGUUGUGCUAUUUUUCACACUAAUCAAUGUUUAUCAUGCCAUACCUCCCAAAUUUAGUGUUGUACAACACAAUUUUAUAUAAAAAGUGGUUAAAGCUCACUACAUCAAAUUCGUAUCCUUGAGGAAAAAGACCUUGUUUCACAAAGUGCCUAGCA